ensembl:snRNA U2 U2 spliceosomal RNA
AUUUGUUUUCUAAUGAAAAAAAUAAAAAAAAAUCUGUUUUUAUCAGUUUAAUAUCUGCUACGUCUUCCAGCUAAAGUCCAUAUAUUAAAUUGCUUUUUGAAACAGGGGGAUGGAGUAGGGGCUUCCUCCGUCCACUCCACGCAUCGACCUAGUAUUGCAUUGCUUCUGGGAACGGUGCACUCCAC